CAGUUCCAGGUGAGGCUCCCCAACUAAGCUAUUCUGGUCACAAUGAGGUCCCUGUUCUCUGCCUCCAUGGGCUAAGAGGGAGAGGCCAGGGCCGAGGACCUGGCCCCCCUGGGGCAAGAGAAUAGACGACUCUUUUUAUCAUUGGCAGCCCUUGGUGCUGAUUCCAAGAAGACUGAGAAGGGUGGUCUGCCUGCCAAUUCCCCACAUGGCCCCCCCAAGCCUCAGGCACUCGGAGAGGGGAUUACUGAGAAGGCCAGGGCAGGGCAUGGCAAAUCCUCAGACUCCAGCAGCAGCAGCAGCUCCAGCGAUUCUGACAGGGAUGGAAAGCCUCCCAGGCUUGGCCGGGACCCCCAGAAGGAGAAAAAACUGAAGAAAGUGAAGAAGACCAAGGAAAAGCGAGAGAAGGAAAAAGCAAAAAAGGGGGAGAAGGGGUCAGCCCCCUGAAGGCAGCCUGGGUCUGCAUUAAAUAGCCCUUGGAGAUGAAGCAUGAGCCCUGGCACACCCCUGCUGGCCACCACCCCAGUCACCCCAAUGUGUGCCCACCCACGGCCAGCCAAUAAAAGGCAAGGACCACUCA